CCCUUAGAUGUUCUGGGCUGCACGCGCGCUACACUGAUGCAUCCAACAAGUUUUUUCCUUGUUCGAGAGGACUAGGUAAUCUUUUGAGAAUGCAUCGUGAUGGGGAUAGAUUAUUGCAAUUAUUAAUCUUCAACGAGGAAUUCCUAGUAAGCGCGAGUCAUAAGCUCGCGUUGAUUACGUCCCUGCCCUUUGUACACACCGCCCGUCGCUACUACCGAUUGGAUGGUUUAGUGAGAUCCUCGGAUUGGUCCCGGAGCGGCCUCUGGUCGUGCCGGAGUGCCGAAAAGAAUGUCGAACUUGAUCAUCUAGAGGAAGUAAAAGUCGUAACA
rnacentral:rRNA from 1 species